rnacentral:pre_miRNA from 1 species
AGUGGAAUUGCUGGGUCAUAUCGUAACUCUGUUUAACUUUUUGAGAAACUUUCAGACUCUUUACAAAAGUGGCUGUACUAUUUUACCUUCCCAUCAGCAAG